rnacentral:rRNA from 1 species
UCGAGAAUCUUCGGCAAUGGGCGCAAGCCUGACCGAGCGACGCCGCGUGGAGGACGAAGGCCUUCGGGUUGUAAACUCCUGUCGAGGGGGAAGAAGGGGCCUUAAACAAGCCCUUGACUGAUCCCUGGAGGAAGCACGGGCUAAGUUCGUGCCAGCAGCCGCGGUAAGACGAACCGUGCGAACGUUAUUCGGAAUCACUGGGCUUAAAGCGCGUGUAGGCGGAUCGGCACGUCGGUCGCUGAAAUCCCCCGGCUCAACCGGGGAACGGGCGCCGAUACGACCGGUCUGGAGGAACGUAGGGGGACCGGGAACUUCCGGUGGAGCGGUGAAAUGCGUUGAGAUCGGAAGGAACGCCCGUGGCGAAAGCGCGGUCCUGGACGUUUGCUGACGCUGAGACGCGAAAGCCAGGGGAGCGAACGGGAUUAGAUACCCGCGUAGUCC